rnacentral:rRNA from 1 species
AACGAACGCUGGCGGCGUGCCUAACACAUGCAAGUCGUGCGAGAAAGUUCCUUCGGGAGCGAGUAAAGCGGCGCACGGGUGAGUAACACGUAGGUAACCUGCCCCCCAGUCUGGAACAACUAGAGGAAACUCUAGCUAAUGCCGGAUGAGACCACGAUCCCUUCGGGGGUUGCGGCCAAAGAUGGCCUCUACUUGUAAGCUAUCGCUGAGGGAUGGGCCUGCGGGCCAUUAGCUUGUUGGUGAGGUAACGGCUCACCAAGGCUGUGAUGGCUAGCUGGUCUGAGAGGAUGACCAGCCACACUGGGACUGAGACACGGCCCAGACUCCACGGGAGCAGCAGUGGGAAUAUUGCGCAAUGGGCGAAAGCCUGACGCAGCGACGCCGCGUGGGUGAUGAAGGCCUGGUCG